rnacentral:tRNA from 1 species
GCCCCCAUAGCUCAGCGGAACAGAGCACCGGCCUUCUAAUCCGGGUGUCGCAGGUUCGAAUCCUGCUGGGGGCA